UACAGAGGUCCCGAGCGUUUGUUCGGAUUCACUGGGCGUAAAGGGUGCGUAGGUGGCCUGAAAAGUUGAUGUGAAAGCUCAGGGCUUAACCCUGAAAUGGCAUUGAAUACUGUCGGGCUGGAGGUUUGGAGGGGGGACUGGAAUUCUUGGUGUAGCAGUGAAAUGCGUAGAUAUCAAGAGGAACACCAGUGGCGAAGGCGAGUCCCUGGACAACACCUGACACUGAGGCACGAAAGCUAGGGGAGCAAACAGG
rnacentral:rRNA from 1 species